AAGAAUGCAAACAAUUCCUGUAUGUUAGAAUUGUUAAUUUUAAAUUGCUCAUAGUAGGACUACUAUGUAAAUGAAUUAUUACGGUAAACAAUUCUGCCAAAUGCAUAAAUGUAUCUCUAGUAUAUAAUAUGUGUUCAGAAUUAUUUUCUACUAAUUAGAAAACACAUGUUGUUGUUGUUUUAGAUUAACUACAUACGGUCCCUUGGGGGAGCCAACCCAGGAGCUGCUGUACACAAAAUUUUGCGUAAAUUGGCCUCCACUGAAAUCCUGAGUGCCUACAGCAUGAAAGGGAGGAAGGAAUCUACGCAGAAAAACUACAAGGCGUUAAAGGCGCUUGAGGUAGAAGACUUAAUUGGAUUAGCCCGGAAAUUUGCCCCACACAGAAAUUUUAAAUGAUGGGAGAGAUUGCCGUGGAGUUCCGAAGUUCAUAGUUUUUAAUAUAUUAAAAUGUUUUUAUGAUACUACGUUCUACAUGUUUUAUUGUUAAUUUUGUAUUAUGUUUUAUAUAAUCAAAUUAUAUACACUAUUACAUUAUUAUCUAACUCUAUA